UACAGAGGUCCCAAGCGUUGUUCGGAUUCACUGGGCGUAAAGGGUGCGUAGGUGGCGAGGUAAGUCGGAUGUGAAAGCUCGGAGCUCAACUCCGAAAUGGCAUUGGAAACUACCUUGCUUGAGGGUUGGAAGGGGGACUGGAAUUCUCGGUGUAGCAGUGAAAUGCGUAGAUAUCGAGAGGAACACCAGUGGCGAAGGCGAGUCCCUGGACAAUACCUGACACUGAGGCACGAAAGCUAGGGGGAGCAAACAGG
rnacentral:rRNA from 1 species